ACACUAACAGGCUUUGGUAGGAGUGUGAUACAUUACUACUGUACACUGGAACGCUGGGUUAGUUUCUUGAUGUGUACUUUCAUUUUCCUGACGUUAUUAGCAAGAUUCAUGGACAAAGGUUUUUUCAUCAGUUCUUGUUUCGCUUGUUUCUUCCUUCUCGUCCGUUACUAUUUUCCCUACCGGCGUUCGUGGAGUAAUACUUAAAAACUGAGCAGAAACUGCCAUCGAUUUUAAAUGAUGGUGAGAAGAAAAUGUGUCCGAGUGUGUCCAAACUGUGUCUAAAGAGCGUAGAGGAAAAGUAAAAAGGUUAACAGGAAAGGGAAGGACUUGCUUCCCAGUAAAUAUCGAGUGGUGAGAGGUUGUAAAGGAGCUGGCUAAACGCGUGCAACAUCUUCCUACAUCCAAAAAGUUGCAACAAAAAUUUGACCAUUUUCAUACAUGAUCCAACACCACUCAAAAUGUUGCUACAGGGUGGCCAAUAGUGUGCAACAUGUUGCGUGCAACAAUGUUGUAGCAUUUUGUAUCAAUGAAAUGUUGCGUGCGUUUAAUUGUGUUGAUGUAUUAUGUGCUUCAUUUGAUAGCUGUGUGACCGUGUCACCUUUCCCUUUAACAUUUCCAAGUAACAUUGAGCUUGGGACAGCUGCUGCUAGUUAGUUUUAAGGUCGGCACACAC